AUUGAACGCUGGCGGCAGGCCUAACACAUGCAAGUCGAGCGAGCGGCGGACGGUUGAGUAAUGUAUGGGGACUGCCCGAUAGAGGGGGAUCACUACUUGACACGGUGUCUCAUACCGCAUACUAUCGGAUAACCCAUAUGGGUUUAGCUAGUAGGUGGGGUAAAGGCUAACCUAGGCGACUAUCUCUAGCUGGUCUGAGUGGAUGAUCAGACACACUGGGACUGAGACACGGCCAAGACUCCUACGGAGGCAGCAGUGGGGAAUAUUGCACAAUGGGCGCAAGCCUGAUGCAGCCAUGCCGCGUGUAUGAAGAAGGCCUUAGGGUUGUAAAGUACUUUCAGCGGGGAGGCGUUACCCGCAGAAGAAGCACCGGCUAACUCCGUGCCAGCCGCCGCGGUAAUAC
rnacentral:rRNA from 1 species